CAGUAGAGAAGACUGGACUUGAGCACCCUUACAGCCUACAUUUAAGGCAAACCAAAUGUUUAAUGCAAGAGCAUGAGAAGACAUUCUAAUCAGUGAAAAGCCAGUAUUUACCCCCAGUUUCCAACCUGGAAUUUUAAAAAAAGGUCACUCUGCAUUUUCUGUGUCAUCACUGUGGGUAAUCUGCAUGGCUUUCCAGCACCAGGAUUACCCUAACACAUCAUUGCUACUGCUUGGCACCAAAAUGGGGAGGCUACAAGACCCAUCUGUGGAACAUCCAGAGAUCUCAGCUUCCAAGAAAACAACUUGCUCUUUCCUGUGUUAUCACACAGCUGAAAGAUCUUACUGGGAAACCUGUGCACAGAUCACCGUCAGCAGAUGCCAUGCAGGAGCCAGUGCAGCUGAAGAGAGGGAAAGAAAAAAAGUUUGCCUCAGCAAUCAAAAUCCUAUAAGGGGCUGCAGGGCACACACAGAGGUGUCAUUGUGCAGUCCCCUCUCAGCAAGGAGCUUGUUCAGCUCCAGAACUGGAGAGACUGCAGAGGAAGGUCACCAAGCCUGACAGACAUGAGACACGCUGAUGAGAGAUCCAGUCUCUGUGUAAACAGAUGCCAGUGAAAUUAAGACAGGGUCAGGGAAGACAAGAAGAAAAACAAGAACUGGUUAAUAUGGGAGACAGAUGCACCACCCCAAAACUUGCUGCAACUCAAGAGCAUUGUUCAGCAGCUGGCAGAGAGGCUACCAUAAGGCAAAUGGAAGGUGUACUACAUAGCUCUUCUUAUUCCAAAUAAAGCUUGUAAGAUAAGA